GAUGAACGCUGGCGGCGUGCUUAACACAUGCAAGUCGAACGAAGCAUUUGCGACAGAUUUUUUCGGAAUGAAGUUGCUUAUGACUGAGUGGCGGACGGGUGAGUAACGCGUGGGUAACCUGCCUUGUACUGGGGGAUAGCAGCUGGAAACGGCUGGUAAUACCGCAUAAGCGCACAAUGUUGCAUGACAUGGUGUGAAAAACUCCGGUGGUAUAAGAUGGACCCGCGUCUGAUUAGCUAGUUGGUGAGAUACAGCCCACCAAGGCGACGAUCAGUAGCCGACCUGAGAGGGUGACCGGCCACAUUGGGACUGAGACACGGCCCAGACUCCUACGGGAGGCAGCAGUGGGGAAUAUUGCACAAUGGAGGAAACUCUGAUGCAGCGACGCCGCGUGAGUGAAGAAGUAAUUCGUUAUGUAAAGCUCUAUCAGCAGGGAAGAUAGUGACGGUACCUGACUAAGAAGCUCCGGCUAAAUACGUG
rnacentral:rRNA from 1 species